AACGAACGCUGGCGGCAGGCUUAACACAUGCAAGUCGAACGCCCCGCAAGGGGAGUGGCAGCCGGGUGAGUAACGCGUGGGAAUCUACCUAGUUCUACGGAACAACACAGGGAAACUUGUGCUAAUACCGUAUAUGCCCUAAGGGGGAAAGAUUUAUCGGAAUUAGAUGAGCCCGCGUAAGAUUAGCUAGUUGGUGGGGUAAUGGCCUACCAAGGCGACGAUCUUUAGCUGGUCUGAGAGGAUGAUCAGCCACACUGGGACUGAGACACGGCCCAGACUCCUACGGGAGGCAGCAGUGGGGAAUAUUGGACAAUGGGCGAAAGCCUGAUCCAGCCAUGCCGCGUGAGUGAUGAAGGCCUUAGGGUUGUAAAGCUCUUUCAGUAGGGAAGAUAAUGACGGUACCUACAGAAGAAGCCCCGGCUAACUUCGUGCCAGCAGCCGCAGUAA
rnacentral:rRNA from 1 species